GGAGCGGGAGCCCGGAGAUGGGCACUGAGACAAGGGCCCAGGCCCUACGGGGCGCAGCAGUCGCGAAAACUUUGCAAUACACGAAAGUGUGACAGGGCUAUCCCGAGUGCCAUCCGCUGAGGAAGGCUUUUACCCAGUAUAGCAAGCUGGGAGAAUAAGGAGAGGGCA
rnacentral:rRNA from 1 species